GAAACCGGUUUCAGGCGGAUUUGAGACGGGACUCAAAUUCAUUAACUUCGGACUCAGAACAUGGAUCCUGUUGUGAAUCGGACAUGCCAUGCCAUCAAUGAUCUCCUAGAAUUGUUUAACUAAAAGAAGGUUUAUACUUGAAUAAGCUGUAUCAUGAUCCUAAUAAGUGCACUUGUCUCAUAUUAAGAUAUUUCUUUAUUUAGAAAAUAAAGAGGAAAAGGGAAAUGACCAAACUGCUGAUGUCGAUGAAGGUUUCAGUGAGCUGGAGACUAAUCUACAAGCAAAGAUGGGACAGAAUAAUCCAAUUAU